GCAGACACUGCAUCCCUGUGGUGGACUCGGGGGGGCAGCACUUUGGGCGGACUUGGGUGCAGGCACCAGGGGGCCCAGACCUUGAGCUGUGUCAGGGGUCCCAAAAUUUCUGAUGGCAGCCCUGCUUGGGGACACUGGGAGACAUGGGGGCGCUUGUGAAUACAGACAUGGGGACACUGGGAGACAUGGGGACACAGACAUUUGGGGACACUGGGAGAAAUGGGGACACUGAGACACAGGGGCACACAGACAUGGGGACACAGACACUGGGAGACAUGGGGACACUGAAACAUUUGGGGACACUAAGACACUAGGGACAUUGAGAGACUAGGGCACACUGGGAGACUAGGGGACACUGGGAGACAUGGGGACACUGAGACACUAGGGACACUUGUGGACAUAGACAUGGGGACACUGGGAGACAUGGGGACACAGACAUUUGGGGACACUGGGAGACAUGGGGACACACACUGGGAGAAUUGGGGACACUGGGAGACAUGGGGACACCGAGGACACUGGCUGGGAGACAUGGGAACACUGAGUCACUAGGGACACUGAGAGACAUGGGAACACAGACACUGGGAGACUAGGGGAAACUGGGAGCCACUAGGGACACUGUUUGGGGAACAUGGGGACACUGAGGGACAUGUCCCUAGUGUCUCCAUGUCUCAGUGUCUCCCAAUGACCCUAUGUCUCACAGCGUCCCCAUGUGUCUCAGCAUCCCCAUGUCUCUCAAACUAUUUAGCAUGGGUGUUUUUUUUGGCGGUUGUAGAUGCGUAACAGAUUUCGGGGGUAAAAGUCAGAAAAAGUGUGUUUUUUUACAUUAUUUCAUCAUAUAUUAUAAUUUUUUAUAGUGAAUUAUAUGAUUAAAAUAAUGGUAUCUUUAGAAAUACCAUUUAAUGGCGAGAAACACGGUAUAUAACAUGUGUGGGUGCAGUAAAUGAGUACGAGGAGAAUUACAGCUUAACGGUAAGAAAAUUGAAAAACGGUCUGGUCACUAAGGGGUUAAACAUGUUGUAACGGAUCCCCUGGCACCCUGACUGGGUACCUCCGUUGAAUGAUGCUCCUAGCGCUUCCUGAGGAUUCCAAGCACUGCAGCAGACACCACAACCACCGAACCGGAGAAGCAUAUGAAUGCUCUCAAGCAUAUGAAUACUGUAAGCAGCUGAACAGGAAAAGCAUACAAUAGGCUUACACUCCUGGCAAUCAGCAUACAAUCCAAUUCCCCCAAUAACGAGACGACACUUCGUUUUGAGGUCAAGCAGAACUGACUGUACUGGCACAUACAGCCUCUUUUAUUCCCAAUCCACAAACUUAGUACUGCCCACAGGGUUUUACAGAACAACCAAUAACACACGUACAUUACAGAAAACACUACCAGCAAAUAUACACAAAAUCCUCCACUCUGCUUGUGAUCUAAUUAUGGCACACAAUGGGUUAAUAUAAUUAUCACAAGCAGGAAAAAUACAGUAUCAUAAAACACAUCACAGGGACCCCAAAACAUACAAUAACCCCAUAAAAAGUAUAUCCUCGGAACUGGGGGAUCUGGGUGAACCACAUAUCCAAAAUUCACCCAGAUCCGUUCAGGCCCUGGGGAGAUAGCGCAGCUAAGCGGACAAGGGCACAUGUAGGAGUGUGGGGAUAGAUGCAUGGGAUUGGUUGGGAAAGAGUGUGUGGGUGGGAUUAUGUUCUGUGUAAGUUAGUGUGGGGGAGGUCUUACCUCAGUGCCACUCGGGAUUCGGGCCAGCAAACAGCUUCCCUCCCACCCGCCCUAUUAGUAUAUUUAGUCACGGCUAGCCGGGGGUAUGUCCUUGCCAAUUGAGUUUGAGGGGUUACGUUUAAGUAUAUGGAAUGAGAUGAACAAGUUUUUUAGGUCUCAACCUCCCCUGCUUCAAAAGGUUUACAUUAGGUUGCCUGAAGUGUCGUGCCCAUCGAGCGUGGAUAAGGUCGGCUGAUGGCGGCCAUUGGAAAGAUAUGAUUUUUAUGACGAGGGGGGAGGUGAGAGGAAGUGGUGAUUAGGAACCACUGUAUUUUUAUUGGCAAGGACGGUUGGGUCACUGUAUAACACUAUGUGUGGAUGUGGCGAAACCGGCCUCGCCACGUGUCCUUGGAGGGGGCUGCUUGCCCGCCUCUUGCCUUUGGACUAUGGACCAGACUGUAUGUGAAUGUGUUAUACCCCAGAUAGGAAUCCCAUGGAGCCCAUUCGUAUGAAACUGACUGUAAAGACUUUGGCUCCAUGGCGAUUAAACUGUAUUUGUGUGGUCCGAGCGCCAUUCACUUAAUAAUGUGCACUCAGACCUGAGCUAUCUGGGGAUAUGUGAAAUGUCUGUGUGUUAUGUGUAAAAUGUGACUUUAUGUAUUUUAAAGUGUUUUGUGUCUUUUUGCAACCAUGUGCUUAAUGGAGUCUUGUGUCUAUCCUGGGAGAUAAUUGAAUUACUUAUCUCCAGGAUAGAAGACUCUGAAACUGGUUUGGGCCAGAAAGCCAUGCUUCAUUUAGUCACAAAGGACUUUUUACUAACUUUUGAACCCCUUGUCUGAUUUGUGCCAUUUUUGAAUAUGUUGUUCCCCUGAAUGGAUUGAUUGUGAAUAUGUAAUUUUAUGUGAAUGUGAUGUAUGGUUUGGAGUUAUGAAAGUUGGGUAGAAAGUAUGUUUUAACUGUAUGUAUAAUUGAGUUUCCUCUCAGGAUAAGGGGAGGGAAUAUGUGGGAUGUAACUGUGAUGUGAUUGGUUGUUUUGUAACGCCCUGUGGGCUGUACUAUGUUUGUGGAUUGGGAAUAAAAGAGACUGUAUGUGACAGUACAGGGAGUUCCUGUUUAACCCUCAAAGUGAAGUGUGUCUCAUUAUUGGGGGAAGGAUUUAUUGUAUGCUGUUCCAGUUUGACUGCUAGGAGAGUAAACCUAUUCGUAUGGUUCCUAUUCAACUGUCUACAGCAUUCAUAUGCUUGAGAGGAUUCAUAUGCUUCUCCGGUUCGGUGGUUGUGGUGUCUGCUGCAGUGCUUGGAGUCCUCAGGAAGCGCUAGGAGCAUCCUUUAACGGAGGUACCCAGUCGGGGUGCCAGGUGAUCCGUUACAUUGGUGGCAAGCGGUGGGAUGGUGUCCUAGUGCGAGGUAAAGCAGCUCAGAGACACAGUUCGUGGAGUUACAAAUUGAGGGCAACGCUAGCACACGUGCAGCGCCCCUGGGAGCAGAGGUAUCCAGCGACUUGGAGCAGACAAGCAUGGAAGGCUCUGGCGAUGAUUGGAUGGCCGAGGUGAGGCAGCGAGUGGCCCAGUAUGGGGAUGAUUUACCCAUGGAGGUACGCCGGGUGAUCUGGAACCAGGUCACGGCCGAGCGAAACACAAGGCUGGCCCGAGAAUUCCGGCUGGCGAAAGAGAGAGUAUGCUCAGCGGAAGGAGUGUUACAGCAGCCGAGUAGAGGCUGCAUCCGAGGAGGCUAGCCGUCUCCCCCUGAGGCGGCCGCAGGAACCCGAAGUAGGGGUCCUCAUAGACUGGUCCUGUGAGGAACCACAACAGGCAGGUGGAGAUGGGACCGGCCCAGAUCCCCAGCAGCAGCCGGAGUUGCCAGGUGCGGAAGCAGGUGGUCCUUACUCGCAAAUGUUGAGGGACCUCACAGACUGGUCCUGGGAAGACCCACAGAUGGCAGGUGGAGAUGGGAUGGCGGUCUCUCUACCGGCCCUACAGGGAUGCUGGGCGGUCGGCCCAGAUCUCCAGCGGCAGUAUGUAUCACAGGGAGCUGAAGGUGCUGUCCUUCCUCCCCAGCGGCAGUGUGAGUUCCAGGGAGCCGAAUGUGCUAUCCUUCCUCCCCAGCAACAGUGUGAGUUCCAGGGAGCCAAAGGUGCUGUCCUUCCUCCCCAGCGGCAGUCUUUUUCCCAGGGAACGGAAGGUGCAGUCCUUCCUCCCCAGCGGCAGUGUGUCCUGCAGGAAGCGGAGACAGUCUGUCUUUCACCCCAGCCACAGGACAAAAUAUUGAAAGGGGAGACAGUUGGUCCCCCUCUCCACCAGCAAAGAGAGUGUCAGGGAGAGGAGCAGGUUACCCCCUCUCCCCAGCGGCAGUCUACAGUUCAGAGAGAGGAGCUUGUUACACCCUCUCUCCAGCGGCAGCCUAACCCACCAAGGGGAGAUGUUAAGCCCCACAACUAUGCAGAUGGGACCGUAGUCUCUGCACUUGCAGCACCAGGGGUAGGGACGGUCGGUCCUGUCCCCCAGCCACAGAGCAGUGUAUCCAGAGGGGAGACAGUCGGUCUCCCCCUCCCCACAACCAGGCUCCAACCAGGCUACUUCAGUGGUAGCGCUGGCACCCGGGCAGAGUACCGCUGGUCUCUGCCCACUCAGCAACCCACCAAGGCAGUCUACCAGCCCCCCGCACAGCCGUGGUGAGGCACCUGGACAUGGACAAGUUGCUAUUUUAUCCAGGUGUAGUAACCAGUUAUUGUGGGUGGGCUGUAUUGCUGUUUGUGCUUCGUGGGUGGGUUGCUGGACUAACCAGGGCACUGACCGGCAGGAGGUCAGAUACCCUGUUAGUUUGGAUGGUAAAGGGGAGAAAUGUGGCGAAACCGGCCUCGCCACGUGUCCUUGGAGGGGGCUGCUUGCCCGCCUCUUGCCUUUGGACUAUGGACCAGACUGUAUGUGAAUGUGUUAUACCCCAGAUAGGAAUCCCAUGGAGCCCAUUCGUAUGAAACUGACUGUAAAGACUUUGGCUCCAUGGCGAUUAAACUGUAUUUGUGUGGUCCGAGCGCCAUUCACUUAAUAAUGUGCGCUCAGACCUGAGCUAUCUGGGGAUAUGUGAAAUGUCUGUGUGUUAUGUGUAAAAUGUGACUUUAUGUAUUUUAAAGUGUUUUGUGUCUUUUUGCAACCAUGUGCUUAAUGGAGUCUUGUGUCUGUCCUGGGAGAUAAUUGAAUUACUUAUCUCCAGGAUAGAAGACUCUGAAACUGGUUUGGGCCAGAAAGCCAUGCUUCAUUUAGUCACAAAGGACUUUUUACUAACUUUUGAACCCCUUGUCUGAUUUGUGCCAUUUUUGAAUAUGUUGUUCCCCUGAAUGGAUUGAUUGUGAAUAUGUAAUUUUAUGUGAAUGUGAUGUAUGGUUUUGGAGUUAUGAAAGUUGGGUAGAAAGUAUGUUUUAACUGUAUGUAUAAUUGAGUUUCCUCUCAGGAUAAGGGGAGGGAAUAUGUGGGAUGUAACUGUGAUGUGAUUGGUUGUUUUGUAACGCCCUGUGGGCUGUACUAUGUUUGUGGAUUGGGAAUAAAAGAGACUGUAUGUGACAGUACAGGGAGUUCCUGCUUAACCCUCAAAGUGAAGUGUCGUCUCAUUAUUGGGGGAAGGAUUUAUUGUAUGCUGUUCCAGUUUGACUGCUAGGAGAGUAAACCUAUUCGUAUGGUUCCUAUUCAACUGUCUACAGCAUUCAUAUGCUUGAGAGGAUUCAUAUGCUUCUCCGGUUCGGUGGUUGUGGUGUCUGCUGCAGUGCUUGGAGUCCUCAGGAAGCGCUAGGAGCAUCCUUUAACGGAGGUACCCAGUCGGGGUGCCAGGUGAUCCGUUACAGUGGAGUUUAUAUGUAUAUAUGUUAAUUUAUGCUUAUUUAUGUCUAACGUUUUGGUUACAGAAAAAGAAGAGAUUUAAUAAAUAAAGUUAUGGAUGUGUUAUGCAGUAAAUUUAGUUUGUGAUAAUAAAUGCU